rnacentral:rRNA from 1 species
CCCAGACUCCUACGGGAGGCAGCAGUGGGGGAUAUUGCACAAUGGGGGAACCCUGAUGCAGCGACGCCGCGUGGGUGAAGGAGUAUUUCGGUAUGUAAAGCCCUAUCUGCAGGGAAGAAGGAGGACGGUACCUGACUAAGAAGCCCCGGCUAACUACGUGCCAGCAGCCGCGGUAAUACGUAGGGGGCAGGCGUUAUCCGGAUUUACUGGGUGUAAAGGGAGCGUAGGCGGUGCAGCAAGUCAGAAGUGAAAGCCCGGGGCUCAACUCCGGGACUGCUUUUGAAACUGCUGAACUAGAUUGCAGGAGAGGUAAGUGGAAUUCCUAGUGUAGCGGUGAAAUGCGUAGAUAUUAGGAGGAACACCAGUGGCGAAGGCGGCUUACUGGACUGUAAAUGACGCUGAGGCUCGAAAGCGUGGGGAGCAAACAGGAUUAGAUACCCUGGUAAG